UCAAAAUCUCUAGUGCAUUGCUAGCCUUCUGAAUGAUACUAGACUCAGGAACAACUUCAGGUUCUGCUUGCUGAGCAACCACAUCCUGUCUAGCAGCAGCAAGUUCUCCAUUAAGUGUACUUUUUUUCUUUACUUGUGAAGCAGGAUUAUUUGCUUGUGUUGCCUGAGGCCUUUGGGGAAAUUGUACUCCUGCACUCACCAAAUCAUAAUACGCA
rnacentral:misc_RNA from 1 species